UUGAUUUGUCUUAAGUCAAACUUGUCCAACUUCGACUAAGUUUAUAGAAAAAUAUAACAUUAUCUAUAUUAUCAAAUAUAUGCACUAUCAAAAUAUAUUCGAUGGUUGAUUCAAUGUAACAAAUUUGGUACUGUAAAUAUUGUUAUAUUUUUUAUAAACUUGGUCAAAGUUAAACAUGUUUGACUUAGGAUAAAUCAAA
rnacentral:pre_miRNA from 1 species